ncrna:unclassified sequences RAGATH-18 RNA
ACUGUGGAGUGUACUAGAACUUGUGAGUAGCGUGUCAUUUGGAACCGCCAAAGCGUACACAAUGAAGCAGUAA